CCUCUUCUCCAACCAUCUUUCUCUUUCUUCACACGUUUCAAGUUCUUCCUUCUUCUAUCGGUGUUCUUCUGGUUCGCGGAUAACCCGUCUCGCAGAAACACGUGCCCUCCAUCCGCUUCUCACCUUCCUUCCUUCGACCACCGUCUCCAUUUUGCUGCGGCCACACUCGUUCACCAUCCUAUCGUCGUUUUCCGGUCGAUUCUCGUGUGACAUCCCCGGUGGCCGAGACAACAAGUGUCCGCAGUCGCGAAUCGCGUCAUCUACUUUCGUGCACCAGUUUACCCUUCUGUUUUCUGGAUAACGCGAGUGAUUAACAUCUGCAGAGGAUUCUUUUCCACGACGAAUGCUCGUUAUCUGCUUGACGAGAAGCUUUCGAGGGAACAAGGGCCAUCAAGCAGCGAGCGUUCAUGUUGCCAGAAAGCAAGUUUCCCGUGACAGGGGGCACUAUGCAGACCGAGGAAGUCGUGCCUCGUGCACAAUCUACUGGGAUAGACAGUGGCCCCACAGACAGCACCACUCUGCAGCAUCAUCUGCAUCACUCGUCGCAGAUAAAGUGUCCCUUACCACCUCUGCUCCACAUGGCGGUCAAGCAGGAGCCCCAGGAGGAGGAGGAACGAAGUCGUGACACGAAUGCGUUGAGUCCACAAGUAGAUGCAGAUACGUCACUGACAUCUGUCGAUGGCAAACAUGGCCAUGGACACGAAACGGAUCAGAUUCAGGAGCUGGAGGAAAGUCCAGGGCAGACGGUUUCGGAUCUCGCUAACAGAGGAAGACCAAGUCGAGGUCGCAGGAAGUCGCGAUGGAAGUUGAAGUUCCAUCACCAAGCCCUGCCACCAGAGUACCUGGACCACUACGAAGCAUCGCUCGCUCAGGAAGCUUUAAAUUCCUCCCCGACGCACUUGGCGGAGCCGACGAUUCCGAGUCCUGCGCCUAUCAACUCCACCUCCAUCCCAAGUCCCAUCGCUGAUGUGCAUGGCUGGCUGCAACGGAUCGCCGCGAUGCAACAGGAACUAUGCCCGCAGAUCCCGUCUCCUCAGUGCCCGACGAGCAACUCGAAUCAGCCAUCGGGCUCCAGAAGAUCGGUGAUAACCUCCACUUCGUCCCACACCUUCAACUCGACCCACCAUAAUCACAGUCAGUCGCAGUCCCAAACAUCUGGCAGGCCACCGAUGAAAUACUCGGACCUACCUUACAUGGGUGAGAUCACGUUGGAUAACAGUAAGCCUAGAAGAGGUAGGAAGCCGAAGAAGGCAGACAUUUGCCAUUUAAUUUAUAAGAAUUACGGCACCAUACUUCCCGGGACACCGGGCCACGAGGAGAAGAGGCUGUCACCUAGGGACAAGCUCGACUGUCGCGAGAGGAUUUCCCCUCAGAUGCCCUUCCAGAGAAGCGAUGUUCAAAAUAGAAUUAGUAGCCUGUUGGAGAAGAGACUGACCCAGGAGUCGCGCAGGACGUUCGGGCUGAUGGAGAACUCGAAGGAGCAGGACGAACCUCUGAAUCUCUGCAUCAGAGAUCUGAACCAACUGAAGAUCAGGCUAUUGCGAAAGCAUGGCAACGUGUACGAGUCUGGACAGGUGAAGAGUGACACCUCCAGUGACGGGGAAGAAGUUGAGUGUAUAGGUGGUACAACUUAUCCUCCGGAGCCAGCCUACCGUUCCCUCGAUCCUCUUAGUCGCAACAGCAGCAAUAUAAAUCAUAAUAACAACAUAAUAGACCCUAUGCUGGGUGGUAAUCCUGGAUUCGUCUACUGGCCCAACGCUGGAGUGUUCAUUCACCCAAUGGCGUUGCAGUCCCAGCUCCUCUACUACCAGAAGAUGGCUCAGAACAGCAAGUGUUAUCCAAGGACUAUAGAGCAAGCUCCGAAAGAGCAGAAGAUCGUUCCCAAGUCCAUCUACUCGAUGCUGGAGACGAAGAGUCCACCUCUGGUACCUCCGUCCGCCCAGCCACCGCCUCAGACAGUACCUUUGCCACCUCCCGUCUCGCCCAGACCUAAAAGAAACGCGCCAAUUAGUCAAAGCCAAGGUCAGCCGACCAAGCGAAAACGUUCCGCGAUAUUCAUACCCCCGAUGCCCACGGAGAACAAUAAUAAUCCCGCGACCGAAGUGAGCAUAUGUAAAUUCAAGUUCACCGGAGGAGCGAAACCGAGUCUCCAGGAGAAGAAGAGUCUGUCAGUCGACUCUGGUGGUAACUUCAGAUAUUACAGCGGUACCGGUGACAAAAGUAUGCGCGGUUACGAGUUCUUCCCUAGAGAAGCUCUUCAGCAGUCCGCCGGACAAUCCGGCUCGUCGACUGGCGCUUUUCUGAACGCCGCUGGCGAGAGGAUUCAACCGGCACCCUGUCAAAGGAGCAGCAACCAGGAGGAGGGUCGUCGCAAGAGGAAGACACGGAAGUCUCUUCAGAGGGAGAAACUCGAGCAGACGUUCAAGGAAAAGGGUUUCCUUAUUCAAACCCAGCAACUGGAGUCCGCCGAGGGUGCUACCUAUUGUAAGUUCAGGCAACUCCGGAAGUUCACCAGGUAUCUGUUCAGAAGCUGGAAGGACUAUCUCCCAGGUAAUGUGCGCGAGCUGACUGGUAAUACCGAGGGGGAAAUCGCCGAUGGGGAUGUCGAGAGUGAUACUAAUGUGUUACCCUCGCCUGUUCCUCACCCUAAUAUGGUGGACGUGUCCACUGGGUUCGUCGAUGAACAUAGAGCUCUGCCUCUGACGUGAAACGUGGAAAUUGCUCGCCGAGACGAUCGGUCGGUUUUAAUUUGACGUUGCUGGAUUAGCGGUGUCCGGGCUGGGGGGAGGAUCCGAGGAUGCGUGUGGUUAGUCGGGUUGGGAAAUGGUUGGUUCAGGAAAUUUUUCCUUUGUUAGGGGUAUCAAGAAUCGCUGACAAAAGUAUUUGCUUUCGUCAAGAUUAUAAAUUAAAGGAAUUUAUAAAAUGUAUCGUAUGCGUUCAUAGUUCACUUGGAUCACUUUUGUGGACUGCUCAUAUGUGUUCAUAGUAUAAAAAAAAGUCGAGUGUGAUUAGGCUGAAAACUUGAUUUGAAUUUCAUUACAUUCGCUUGCUGAUUUACAAAGGAAAUCAUUGAUAAUUGAAAUCGAAAGCCAACACACCGUGAGAAAUAAUAACGUUUCAAAUUGGUACUUGAAUAUAUUUCAUCAAUGAUCGCAUAUAGCACAAGGAUUUUAUCGUCAUCUCGUUAUUAUUAUUCUUCGCGGGCGUCCUGUACGCUGUCCAUAAUUGUACAAAAAAAGAGUCGCGCAGGUAUGGAGAUAUGAUAAAGUUCGUUACUGAUAUCGUACAAAUGUACCAGUAAUGUUAAUAUCAUUAAACGUUCUACAAUUACAUAAAAAAACAAGAACGAAAAACAAGAUAAAUUGUUGCUGUCUUUCAUGACCGAGAAAAAAUAGUAUUUUUUAUCAUUUUUAUGAAAGAAUAAUUAGUAGAAAAUGAGAUACGAGGGUCAUUUAAUCAGUAAAGAAAUAAACAGGUGUAACUUUGAAAUAAAAUGAAAUGAAAUGAAAUUAAUAAUAAUUUCAUAUGUUUUAUACAUUUAUUAUCUACCCCUUUGAUUUUCAAUGUAGCUAAUUCGUACUCUGUAAUUAGUAUAUUUUUUAUAAGAGCUCACCAUAAUUAAUUAAGUGUAAGAGUCUGCAAGAAUAUUAAUGAGUUUUCAUAAUGACAUAGUAUCAUGAUUCUUAUUUAAAUAGUUUUCCACCUGCUACCUUCUAACUUAUCGAAUGACUCUUGUGUUAUCUGAAAGAUUCGUAAUAGGCUUUGAAUUACAGUCAUGUAAAUAACACUUUUAAUAAUUUAGUAACAGAAAAACAGUAACACCUGAUCUAUUAAUCAUUAUGAAUCUGUAUAAACGUACAGUUUAUUCUUACGCAAUAGCAAUUGAACGUUACGUGAAUUGUAGUUAACCUUCGUUUAACAAGAAAUAACCCUGUACGAUAUUGUAAAUAUCGUGAACAUAUCAAGUACAUAAUUAUAUUAACAAAUCUUCAGAAGUACUUGAGUCGUUGCUAAUUCAUAAGAACACAGUGUAACAUUGACUGUGAUUCAAUGAAACAAAUAUUAUUAUUCUUUCCGAUAAUUUCAUUGAUUUUAAUAAGUUUCUUGAUUUGUAAAUCAGCAGGCGAGUGCAUUGCUAUUGAUACAUCGCAUAAAAGCAUUGGAGUAUUCUGAAAAUUUCUAAUCCUAAAAAGACAGCUCCAUUAGAAUUGAAUUAUUUUAUUACUAAUUAUUAUACAGAAAAAGUGAUUAAAUUUUUCGAGAUGAUUCAAUAUAUCGGUCGCUAAGAAGAGCCUAAUUCGUUGAAGAAUUUUAAUUACAAAAGCUGAGCGCCGUAAGAGGAGAAGAACAGAGGAAACAGGUGGCGACGUAAUCGUUUUAAUAAUAAUGUAAAUUCGAUCGUAGCUCCGUGCCAAAGAUGGGAGACUGGAAUGUACAUAGUGUUGAAAGAACCGUGUUAACCAAAGAGUGGUUUCGUGCUCGACGAUUAGAAGCGGAUGCAACGAUAAUCCGCUCGAAGGGGCGUGAGCCGAUAAAUUCAGCUUUCUAUCGGCUCGAGCUGUUCGCGAGACCUUUCCUCGAGCCGAUUUUGCAAUGCAUUUUGUAGAAAGAGAGAAGAAAUGAGAAUGAAACUCUAGAAACGAAGGCGAAACGAGCAAUGCCCGUUAUCAUUAUUAAUUAUCAUUAACGAAAUCUAGUCUUAUUUAUACUCUUUGUUAUGUAAAUCAAAAGCCGUGCUUUUUUUUUCUUUUUUAUUAUUAUACACAUAGCGAUUUAUUUAUGUAUGUACAUAAUUAUCGACGCGUGAACGUUUAAUUAAAAAAUAAAUAAACGUGUAUACGUGCAAUUGAUAAGUAUGGGACGAACGAUGAAAACGCGAAUGAAACGAUCGUACCUGAGGCUCGUGACGUGUCUUUAAAUGGGACACGUAUUUGCUGAUUUCUCGUUUUCAACAUCGUCCGUUUUGUAAAUUCUCGACGAAACUCGAUAGAAAAAAAAGGAAAAACGCUCAAAGGAUGUUUAUGGAGGAAUAAAACGAGGGAAAGUGCAACAGGAACCGUCCUAUGUCUGUAUCGUUUACUGUCCUGUGCAGCGACACGUAGAACUAUUUUGAACGGCGAAUCAAAUAACAGUGCUAAUAUUUUUAAUCAGUUAUCCGUUACUCCAUUAAUGUUAAAGGUUGGCUGAAUGUCUCAUUGAUACAUGGGAGUCGUGUUGGCGAUACAGCUUGGCUGGACAGGUACACACGCGUGAAGGUAAGCACAGAAAGGGGAUAAGGAUGCGUGUGCACGCAGUUCAACCCAGCCAUUCAUGCAUACGCCCAUUCAUACGUCUCUCUGGCUCACCUUGAAGACUUUUUAUCCGCGGUCAAGAUGUGGUCGUGGCCGUGGAACGAUCCUCUUCUUCGAGCUCCCAUCUUCCAGAAGGGGGAAUCUUCAGUGAAUUUUCGUCGUUGGAUCCCACCUGUUUGGAACACCUGACUGUAAAACAAAAAGGGGACGCCGAAUGGUUGGCACUAAAAGUUUUGGGAACAAUUCUAAGUAACAUCAAUAUUAUUUAAAAUAAUUUUACAAGACACCAAAUGAAAACUCUAAACUGUAAUUAACAUACAGAGGUUGGAAUAAAACUAAUUUAAUUUUUAAAUUGCCAAUUUGAAAUUUUUUUAAAGAAUUUUUUUAUUUUUUUAUUAAAUGGAAAUAAAUUUUUUUUCUUAUAAAGAAAGUUUAAUAAUUGUAUUUAGAAACUAAAAGGUACGUUUAUCUACCUACAUCUAUUGUGUUACUUUCUGAAAGGGACACGGACAAAGAGCAAUCGAAUUUGACGAUGAAGAGGUGAGCAGGAUUUUUCCAAGCGUCGUCGUCGCCGACGUCGUUGUUCAGCGUGGCGCGCACAAUGACUGCAGGUUUCCUAAUACGGCCUCGUCCUGGACCCCGAUGAAAAAAAGAGGAAUUUUGGCCCAUCAGCAAGGGCCUGGGAAGGAACGUCCUACGUUAGAGACCCUGCCGGUGCAGAAAUUUAAUAAUCGAGUAAUGUUUUCUCUUUUUAAUUAAUUCAACACUUUGACAGCCAUACAUUUCAUCAAAUCAGAAAUUUUAUUUUUUAUUUUAUUAUUUUAUCAAAUCAGAAAUUUUAUUAUUUUUUGAAGAAAUAUCAGAGUUCCAUUUAAGGUGCUCGGUGAAAUUAUAAUUAUUAAAAAAUAAGAAAAGAGAGUCAUGAAAGGGUUAAGGUACCAAGUUAUUACCUAUCCCGAUUAAAAUUUACCUCGUAA